rnacentral:lncRNA from 1 species
AUUAAAUGCUUUCCAAUAAGAUUUAAGCAAUUAAAAAUAAAAUGCUGUAAAUAUUCAGUAAUAAAAUAAGAGUACUAUAGUAAAAUAUGCUUUAUAGUAUUUGGUUGCAAAGAUUGCAAAUUAGUUGAUUUUCAUCCUUCGAGAGAUAUUGUGAGUGGCAAAUAAGGGUAAUCGACUAUGCACUAUAGCAGAGAUGGGCAACCGCUACGUGUGGUGAUUUUGUCUUUGGCAUAUUUUAAUUUCUUACUAAUAAUGAAAAUUAAUUCUUAUUAUGUUAAAAACUGGAAAACUCGGCAUUAUUUCCUUCCUCCGACCAAGAUUAUUCCAUUAGAUUGUGCAAUUAUUAUUGUAAUUUUUAGAUAUAGUGAAUUGAACAUUUCAUUCACCACAUAAUAAAAAAAUAUAAAUUUUAAAAAAUAUGUUGCUCAACUCUACCCUAUAGUCUUGCUAGGACUAUUUGCUUUCUUUUGUUUCUGCAGUAGUGUGAUUUUCAAUGAUGGCUAAUGAUUGCUGGUUUAAUAAUGUGAAAUUGUUCUGUUUAUACAGAUCAGAUUAUUCUAUGGCUGUUAUUGUAAUUACAAUUCUUUAAUUAAGCAAACAAUCACUACAGUAAACAGAAAGAUACUGGUAUUAUUUUCUCUGUUUCUGUUCAAACGUAUCGCAGAAUAAUUUUUUUUGCUUGG